CGUGGAACCCCAGGAACCGCCGACCGGAGAAGCUACGUGAUUCGUUGAAGGAGUUAGAGGAGCUGUUGCUGACCAACACCUGCGUUCACACCAGAUGGAGAAACAAGCAUUGUUGCCAGCUUAUGCUGAGCAGUGGCAUAAUGGUGACCCUGACACUGAAGGGACCUCAACUGGAACAAGUUUGUGUAGACCGCACAUUAGUGGGCCGACUACCAGCAAACACUGUGACUGAUGCGGUGCUCGGUGAUGGGCUGAUUCUGCUGACCUUCCUGGAGCAGAGCCAGGUGUGUGCAGUUUAUGUCAACAAGAAGAACCCGAACUCCGCAGAGAGCGGCAGACGAACGGACAAACUGUCGUCCUCUGAAAUCAAGG
rnacentral:lncRNA from 1 species